rnacentral:rRNA from 1 species
AGAGUUUGAUUCUGGCUCAGAACGAACGCUGGCAGCGUGGAUUAGGCAUGCAAGUCGAACGGGAAUCUAUGGAUUCAAGUUUUCGGACGAGAAACUGUAGAGGAUAGUGGCGAAAGGGUGAUAUCGCGUGGGUAAUCUGCCUCUAAGUUGGGGACAACUCUCCGAAAGGAGGGCUAAUACCGAAUGUGAUCUCCUGCCGCAUGGCAGGAUGAUGAAAGGUGGGGAUUCUUCGGAACCUGCCGCUUGGAGAUGAACCCGCGUACCAUCAGCUUGUUGGUGAGGUAAUGGCUCACCAAGGCUUACGGUUAGCCGGCCUGAGAGGGUGAUCGGCCACACUGGGACUGAGACACUGCCCAGACUCCUACGGGAGGCUGCAGUCGAGGAUCAUUGACAAUGCGCGAAAGCGUGAUCAUGCGACGCUGCGUGGAGGAUGACGGCCUUAGGGUUGUAAACUCCUGUCAUUUGGAAAAAAUUCUACGAGGGUUAAUACCCCUUGUAAUUGAUGGUACCAAAAGAGGAAGCCACGGCUAACUCUGUGCCAGCAGCCGCGGUAAUACAGAGGUGGCGAGCGUUGUUCGGAUUUACUGGGCGUAAAGCGUGCGUAGGUGGUUUCGUAUGUCGGGUGUGAAAUCCCACGGCUCAACCGUGGAACUGCAUCCGAAACUGCGGGACUAGAGUACAGGAGGGGAGAGCGGAAUUCUUGGUGUAGCGGUGAAAUGCGUUGAUAUCAAGAAGAACACCGGUGGCGAAGGCGGCUCUCUGGAAUGUUACUGACACUGAAGCACGAAAGUUGGGGGAGCGAACAGGAUUAGAUACCCUGGUAGUCCCAACCGUAAACGUUGUGUACUUGGUGUGGGGGGUAUUGACCCCCUCCGUGCCGGAGCUAACGCGUUAAGUACACCGCCUGGGGAGUACGGCCGCAAGGCUAAAACUCAAAGAAAUUGACGGGGGCCCGCACAAGCGGAGGAGCAUGUGGCUUAAUUCGAUGCAACGCGAAGAACCUUACCAGGGCUUGACAUGCAGCUGCAAGCCCCCCGAAAGGGGGGAAGCCUUCGAGGGUGCUGCACAGGUGCUGCAUGGCUGUCGUCAGUUCGUGCCGUGAGGUGUUGGGUUAAGUCCCGCAACGAACGCAACCCUUGUGUUUAGUUGCCACCGCAGGUGAUGAGCCUGCGAGCACUCUAGACAGACUGCCCGUACAAGCGGGAGGAAGGUGGGGACGACGUCAAGUCAGUAUGGCCCUUACGCCCUGGGCUGCACACGUGCUACAAUGGCCGGUACAAAGGGACGCAAUACCGCGAGGUGGAGCAAAUCCCCAAAACCGGCCUCAGUUCGGAUUGGAGUCUGCAACUCGACUCCAUGAAGUUGGAUUCGCUAGUAACGGCGCAUCAGCUACGGCGCCGUGAAUACGUUCCCGGGCCUUGUACACACCGCCCGUCACAUCAUGAAAGCCGUCUGCACCCGAAGUCGCUGAGCCAACCCGCAAGGGAGGCAGGUGCCGAAGGUGUGGGUGGUGAUUGGGAUGAAGUCGUAACAAGGUA